rnacentral:misc_RNA from 2 species
ACGAGUUAGGGUCUUCUAGGCCCGACCUCCCAACCCUAUGUUUAUUGAACCUCUGUUGCUUCGGCGGACCCGCCUCACGGCCGCCGGAGGACCGCUGCAAGGCGUCCUCUGGCCAGCGUCCGCCGAUGGCCAACCACUUAAACUCUGAAUGAAUCGUGUCAUAUGUCUAAGUCUAUGAUUAAAUUAAAGCA